rnacentral:lncRNA from 1 species
UUACCCGGGUGCAGAGAGCGAGGAGCACCAAGGCGAGGCUGAUGGGACCUGCGACGGAGGCGAGCAUGAUCGGGACGCGGUAGGAGGAUGCACAGCAGGGUGCAGAGGCGACGAGAGGCGCGGCCGGAGCCUGGAUUCGGACAGGGGCGGAGGUUGGUGUCUGGACGCUCCAGGCGGUGGCGUCUGGGGUUGUCGGCUGGGCUGGGGCUGCUGCCGUCUGGAGGAGGUCGGUCUCCUGGGGUCGGAGCUGGAGUGGAUCUGGCUGAGUCUUCUUGGAGAGAAGAGCUGUGUGAGACUAGGCGGGCGGCGCUGGCUUUUAUACGCUCCCGGGAGCCGGCUCGCCAAAGAACUGAAUGGAGUCCUACACAAACAGGGACAUUCCUCACAUUCCUCCCCACCUUCCUGCCUCAUCAACUCACACCGGAUUGAUCCUGACCCCUUGACACUCCACAUUCCUCCGUCUGAAAAAGCUGGCACACUUUAGCUCGCCAGGAAAAAAAAAAAAGGCGCUGUGUUUCCAGCACAACACCAAGAAGUAAAACUUUCUCCAUAUCAUCUUCUCACCCCUCCUGAUGAAAUAUAACUUAGAAAUAAACGAUUAUUUCUCUGA